AGACAGCAGCCGCCGCGGUAAUACGUAGGUGGCAAGCGUUGUCCGGAAUUAUUGGGCGUAAAGGGCUUGCAGGCGGUUUCUUAAGCCUGAUGUGAAAGCCCCCGGCUCAACCGGGGAGGGUCAUUGGAAACUGGGAAACUUGAGUGCAGAAGAGGAGAGUGGAAUUCCACGUGUAGCGGUGAAAUGCGUAGAGAUGUGGAGGAACACCAGUGGCGAAGGCGACUCUCUGGUCUGUAACUGACGCUGAGGAGCGAAAGCGUGGGGAGCGAACAGGAUUAGAUACCCGCGUAGUCCCUGUCUCUUAUAC
rnacentral:rRNA from 1 species